UCAAAGAUGGACUACAGUGUGGAAGUGUAAGCCAGAUAAACCCUUCCCUCCCCAUGGAGGAAUGGUGUUUCAUCACAGCAAUAGAAACCCUAACUAAGGCAAAGUCUAGUGCCAGCUCUUGUGACAAAUAAAACAACGUGGCUGGUAGGUCGCCUCCCACUGUAGAAUCUGAGCCCUGGGAAGUGCAGAAUGGAUAUGAGCACUGCAGCUGCAGGGCAGGAAGCCCAGAACACAGGACACAGCACAGAGAAGAGCCCUGUGCUGUCCUCAGUAGCAGCCAGUGUUUACCAGCUUUUGCCACCUGCUAGCUGCUGUCAGGCGGUUUGUGUGUGGCUGUGGAAUGGCUUUCUUUCCGGCUCCAUUCCCUUCCAGAGAGUGCACGAGUCAGACAACAUAGCAUUUACCUUGGCAGUGUUGAUGGCAGCCCCGUAGCCUGAUGAGAACCCACAUCCAAUCAGACAAACUCUCUCCAAGUUUGCGUCAUCAUCGACUCUGGCAAGAUUGGCUUCUGAAACUACAGUGUACUGAGAGAAUGAACUGACUCCCAUGAAAUGAUUUGCAGAGGGGCUAAGAAAAUGAGAAGAAAUGGAAAACAUUUUGAAGAGCAGAGACUGAUUUUGUCACUUGUCAUAAUACAUAGUAUACAUGUGCUUGUAACCUGAGUAAUCAUUAAUUCUUAGAGAAUGUAUGAUAUAAAACUACAUGGAAGUAAAGAGAGGUCAGUUUACUAGGCCACAGCAAGAAACUGGACAGACACAUCUGAGCUGCCUGGAAGCAAGGUUGGAGAAAAAAUGGGCUGACUCACAAGCUUCGAGGAAACUGAACAGAGUAAGAUGCAGUUCUCAGGGUAAUGAAAUAGGUAAUUCUGCUGUUGCCUUCAGACGUCAGAUGUGUCCCUGACAGUCUUUUUAUAGGUGAAAGGAAACAAACUUUAUGUUGUAUCAAAAAGCUUGAAUCUCUUCAUGUGAAACUGAAUUAGACUUUUAAAAAGAUAGUUAUAAAGACUUACCUAGCUUCCUUACAAAUAUUGUUCUUGGAAUUGAGGCAAGUGUUACAUUCUCCACAUUGUGGUAGACAUAAGAUGAUGACUUUAUCACCUAAAAAGCAAAGUAACUAUUAGGGUGUUAAUGUUGAGUAGUCUGAUUUCUUAGGUUGUCAAUAGCAAGGCACCAAGAAGAUGUGAUAAUGAAGAACUAUUUAUUUGUUUAAUUGUGCUUGAUCACAAACAUAUUUGCAGCAUCCUAUCCAGUCCAAGGCCAUGGCUGAAUACUUAGGAGCUGGCUCCAGAUAUGCCCACCUUGUAUGACACUUUUGGAAUACCCAGGCAAAAAAUUUAGUUGUGUGCCAUUGUGGUGGUUUGAAACAAAAUGGCCUCCAAAGAGAGUGGCUCUAUUAGGAGGUGUGGCCUUAUUGGAAUAGGUUUCAUUUUGUUGGAGGAUAUGUGUCACUGUGGAGGUGGACUUUGAAGUCUCGUGCUCCAUUCACGGCCAGUGAGACAGACCACUUUCUGUUGCCUGCAAGUCAAGAUGUAGGAUACUCAGCUACUUCUCCAGCACCAUAUCUGCCUACAUGUUGCACCAUGAUGAUAAUGGACUAAACCUCUGGAAAUGUAAGCUACCCCAAUUAAAUGUUUUUCCUUUAUAAGAGUUGUCAUGGUGUCUCUUCACAGCAUUAGAAAUCAUAACUAAGACAGCCUUCAACUACAUGUUAUGUCCUCUGCAUUAACUUCCACUGUGGGGCUAGAGUCAAAAUAGAUACAGUGCUCAAAGAAUGAGGCCCAGAACUGGGGGAAGAUUGACCACAAGUUGUGCUCUGUGUUGUACUUCC